UCAAGCUACUAAGGGCACAGGGUGAAUGCCUUGGCACCAAGAGGCGAUGAAAGACGUGGUCAGCUGCGAUAAGCUCUGGGGAGCCGCUAACAGGCUUAGAUCCAGAGAUUUCUGAAUGGGGAAACCCGGCUCGUGUCAUGACGGGUCAUCUUGCGCUGAAUACAUAGGCGUAAGAAGCAAACGCAGGGAACUGAAACAUCUAAGUACCUGCAGGAAGAGAAAGCGACAGCGAUUCCCCGAGUAGUGGCGAGCGAAAGGGGAAUAGCCCAAACCGGAUAUGCGUGAUAGCCUGCAAGCGUUGCAUGUUCGGGGUUGUGGGGCUCUAUUGGAGAAGGUUGCAGCCUUCUCGGGAAGUUACAAAGCUUAUUCAUAGUCGAAUCCGCUGGAAAGCGGAACCACAGAAGGUGAUAGUCCUGUAAGCGAAAUGAAUGGGCCUUCCUCGAUAGAGUUCCCGAGUACCGCGGGACACGUGAAAUCCUGUGGGAAUCUGGGGGGACCAUCUCCCAAGGCUAAAUACUACUUGGUGACCGAUAGUGAACCAGUACCGUGAGGGAAAGGUGAAAAGUACCCCGGGAGGGGAGUGAAAUAGUACCUGAAACCGUGUGCCUACAAACUGUGGAAGGACUAUGGCUGGAAAGGCAACUUUCCAUCCAGUCUGACUGCGUGCCUUUUGCAUAAUGAGUCAGCGAGUUACUCUAUGUGGCGAGGUUAAGCCGACAGGUGGAGCCGUAGCGAAAGCGAGUCUUAAAAGGGCGAUUCAGUCGCAUAGAGUAGACCCGAAACCAAGUGAUCUACCCAUGGCCAGGGUGAAGCGUAUGUAACAGUCCGUGGAGGCCCGAACCGGUGUGGGUUGAAAACCGCUCGGAUGAGCUGUGGGUAGGGGUGAAAGGCCAAUCAAACUUGGAAAUAGCUGGUUCUCCCCGAAAUAUAUUUAGGUAUAGCCUCGCGUGAUGAGUGUUGGAGGUAGAGCACUGAAUGGGCUAGGGGUCCUACCAGAUUACCAAACCCAAUCAAACUCCGAAUGCCAACAACUGCUAACGCGGGAGUCAGACUGCGGGUGAUAAGAUCCGUAGUCGAAAGGGAAACAGCCCAGAUCGCCGGCUAAGGUCCCCAAUACAUGCUAAGUGGAAAAGGAAGUGGAAACGUUCAGACAACCAGGAGGUUGGCUUAGAAGCAGCCAUCCUUUAAAGAAAGCGUAAUAGCUCACUGGUCGAAUGGGUCUGCGCCGAAGAUUCAACGGGGCUCAAGCAUGUAACCGAAGCCGCGGAUUCAUAUUUCGGUAUGGAUGGUAGGGGAGCAUUCCAUGUUAGGUCGAAGCCAGACCGUAAGGACUGGUGGACGAGAUGGAAGAGAUUAUGCUGACAUAAGUAGCGAAAAAGUCAGUGAGAAACUGACUCGCCGAAAACCUAAGGUUUCCUGAGUAAAGUUAAUCUUCUCAGGGUUAGUCGAUCCCUAAGCCGAGGCCGAAAGGCGUAGGCGAUGGAAAACAGGUUAAUAUUCCUGUACCACUGGAAGAGCGUUUGAGCAAUGGGGGGACGUAGAAGGGUAGGCCAUCCGGGUGAUGGAUGUCCCGGUUCAAGCUGGUAGGAGGAGUUUCCAGGCAAAUCCGGAAACUCAUUCAACUCCGAGAAGUGAUGAGGAGAGGUUUUACCUCAUAAACUGGCUGAUCCCACGCUACCAAGAAAAGCCUCUAGCGAGCUCGUCCGGUGAUCGUACCGUAAACCGACACAGGUAGGUGAGGAGAAUAUCCUAAGGCGCUUGAGUGAAACCUCGUUAAGGAACUCGGCAAAUUAGCACCGUAACUUCGGAAGAAGGUGUGCCCCGUUAGCGUGAAGCGAUUCGCACGUGAAGCGCGAAGGGGUUGCAGUGAAAGGGCCCAGGCGACUGUUUAGCAAAAACACAGGACUCUGCCAAGUGGUAGCGAAAUUCCUUGUCGGGUAAGUUCCGACCUGCACGAAUGGCGUAACGAUUUGGGCGCUGUCUUGACGAGGAGCUCAGCGAAUUUGAUAAGACGGUGAAGAUGCCGUCUACCCGCAACAAGACGGAAAGACCCCGUGCACCUUUACUAUAGCUUGAUAAUGAACUUUGGACUAAUCUGUGUAGGAUAGGUGGGAGGCUAUGAAGUGGGGACGCCAGUUUCCAUGGAGUCAACCUUGAAAUACCACCCUGGCUAUUCUGAAGUUCUAACCUGGGCCCGUGAUCCGGGUCAGGGACAUUGUCUGGCGGGUAGUUUGACUGGGGCGGUCGCCUCCAAAAGAGUAACGGAGGCUCCCAAAGGUUCCCUCAGCACGGACGGUAAUCGUGCGUAGAGCGUAAAGGCAUAAGGGAGCUUGACUGCGAGACAAACAAGUCGAGCAGGUGCGAAAGCAGGUCUUAGUGAUCCGGUGGUUCCGCAUGGAAGGGCCAU
rnacentral:rRNA from 1 species